UGGACCUACGGAGGCAGCAGUGGGGAAUAUUGCACAAUGGGGGAAACCCUGAUGCAGCGACGCCGCGUGAAGGAAGAAGUAUCUCGGUAUGUAAACUUCUAUCGGCAGGGAAGAAAACGGACGGUACCUGACUAAGAAGCCCCGGCUAACUACGUGCCAGCAGCCGCGGUAAUACGUAGGGGGCGAGCGUUAUCCGGAUUUACUGGGUGUAAAGGGAGCGUAGACGGCAGCGCAAGUCUGGAGUGAAAUGCCGGGGCUCAACCCCGGAACUGCUUUGGAAACUGUGCAGCUAGAGUGCGGGAGAG
rnacentral:rRNA from 1 species